rnacentral:tRNA from 1 species
AGCCGCUGGGCCAGUUCCCGCAGGGCCGGGCGUUGCAGUUUGCCCAUGGGGUUGCGGGGCAGGGAUUCCACCCGGUGCAGACGGCGGGGGCGGCGG